GGUGAGGCAGGAUUGCUUGAGCCUGGGAGAUGGAGGUUGAAGUGAGCUGAGAUCAUGCCACUGCACUCCAGCCUGGGC
ensembl:miRNA